rnacentral:rRNA from 1 species
AUUGUAGUAUAUAAUAAUUACGAAAGCAAAAAAUUAUGGCGGUAUUUUAAGCUUUUCAGAGGAAUUUGCUCUUUAAUGGAUAAAACACCUAAAUCUUACUUAAAUUUGUCAAAUCAACUUGUAUACCACUAUUAAAACAAUUAUUAACUCUAAUUGUUAAUAUUUAAAAACAUAAAUUAAUUUAAAUUAAGUCAAGGUGCAGUAAAAAUUUAAGAAUGAAGUGAAUUACAUUACUUUUAAGAGAAAUAAAAUUAAAUAAAAUUUAGGAUUUGAAAGUAAAAUUAAAAUAGAAUGUUAAUUUGAAUUAAGCUCUAAAAUAUGUAC